GUUUGCUCCCCCUUCAGCCAUGAUUAUACCUUGACUAUGAAUAAUAGUUUCAAUAAGGAAGACAGAAUGAGUUCUGACACGAUGGUUGGGAGCUGUGACAGGCAGACGAAAAAUGGAGCCAAAUGGCAUGGAGGUGUGUCAUCACUGCUGGAUUUUACCUUGAUCUACAUUCAGUUAUCUACUUCUUUUCAAAAUGCUGGGCAUUCAUUCAAGAAACAGCAUAUAUGUUCUGACUUUGAAGUAAUGGAUGAACUGUCAUGUGCAGUAUAUGGAAAUAAGUUUUAUUACCUUCUUCCCACAUUAACUCAUCCAUCCAUUCAAUAGCCAUUUAUUGAGAAGCUCACUCUGUGUUAGGCACAGUGGUGUCAUGAUGUUGGAACAGUAACAAUAACUCAACCAACCAGGGCUUGUCUGAAUACAAUCCUACAGCAGCAGGAGCUGUGGAGAUAUAGAAGGCAAGGAAGACCAGGUUGUGAGGGAAGACGAAUUUACUCCCAGGAAUGUUGGGAUUGAGAGUAAUAUUCUCCAAUAAUGGUGGAAGACAGAACAAUAAAAGCCCACCAGCUCCUUCUGCAUGGUGGGAUAAGAGAAAAGCCAAGGGCAGAAGUGAGAAAAAUAACCAUCACCAAACUGAAAAGAAAACCUUUAUAAAAAAACUGGAUUGAUAAAUGACCUUUAGUAGUGGAAAGAUACCAUUCCAAUGAAGCAUGAAUUGAAAGGAUUUCUUCUGAAAGCUAAUUUACAUUUUUCUUUUUUUUUUUUUCAUUUUCAGUGUGUUUUAGCAGGUGUAUUGUUCUACAUGGUUAGUUUCUUUACCUCUUUGAGAAAAAUGGGUCAGCUUGACACAUCUGGAUGAAAGAAUCCGUUAGGUGAUUAUGAUUGAAGACAGAUUAAGCCUUGUUAUGAGGGGAAUAUUUGGGGGCUUACCCUGAGGUGAUAUUUGAUGAUUUAGCUGUGGGAGAAUUUCCCUCCCAAGAUCAGCGUGACUGACACUGAAAUUGCUACAGGGGAACCGGACCUUUCCAAGAGGUGACAAGGACAUUUACCUGGUACAACACAAUGGUUCUGGACUGGAAGUCUAGUCCCAUUGAUGAAGUUCCCAAAAGAUGUCCAGGUCCUAAUCCCUGGAAUCUGUGAAUAUGUCAUCUUACACAUCAAAAGAACUUUGAAAAUGUGAUUGAGGUUAAGGACCUUGGAAUGAGGAGAUUACCUUGGAUUAUCUGGUUGGGUCCAAGCUAAUCACAUGAGUCCUUAAAGGAGAAGAACCUUUUUUAGCUGGGUCAGAGAGAGAUGUGAUGAUGAAAACAGGCUCAGGGAGAUGCACUGUAAGAAGGGCUUGACCAGUUGUUUUUGACUUUGAAGAUGGAGGGAAGGGCCAGGAGCCAAGGAAGGUGGGUGGCUUUUGGAAGGUGGAAAAAGCAAGGGAACAUUCUCUCCAGAGCCUCCAGAAAGGAGCUCAGCCCUGUUGACAUCUUUGUUUUUAUUUUUUAUUUUUAGUAGCAUUGAGGUCUCACUAUGUUGCACAGGCUGGUCUUGAACUCUUGAGCUCAAGCACUCCUCCCGCCUUGGCUUCCCAAAGUGCUGGGAUUAUAGGCAUGUGCCACCACAUCUGGCUUCCUACUGACAUCUUAACUUUAGUGCAGUGAGACUCAUAUUUGAAUUUCUGACCUUAUAUUAUAGAACCAUAAGACAUUAUAGAAUUAUAUAGAAUUAUAGAACCAUAAGACAAUAACUUUGUGUUGUUUUAAGAUACUAAAUUUUUGGUAAUUUGUUAUGGCAGCACAAUAAAACCAAUAUAGCAUUAUAUUAUGCCAAUAUCAUCUCUUUGUUGACUAUUGCUAUUAUAGUUUGUUUUAUGGGUCUUGUGUAAACAAUCAAGCUAUAAUAUUGGGUUAACUCCCUAAGGAAAACUUGGAAUAUAGAACAUUAUUUUAAAGACUGAAUUAGGUAAAUACACCUGCCAGUGAAUACAUUAACAAAUUAAUUAAUAUAUUCACUCUUUUCACUCACAAAUACUUUUUGAGCCCCUAUUACUAGCCAAACAUUUUGUUAGAUUCUGAGAAGGGUCUGCUAGACAACAUUGUGACUAUAGUUAAUAACAAUAUAUUGUACUCUUGAAAAUUACUAAGAGAGUAGAUUUUAAGUGUUCUCACCACAAAAAAUAAGUAUGUGAGGUAAUGCAGAUGUUAGUUAGCUUGAUUUAGCCAUUCCCCAGUGUAUACAUAUUUCAAACCUUCAUAUUAUACAUGGAUAAAUAUAUACAAUUUUUAUUUGUCAAUUAAAAGCCCCUCGAUGAAUACAGUUUCCAUUCUGUCCUUGAGGUGGAGCUUGUAGACUUGGUGGGGUCCGGGGAUCAACUUUUAAACAGGCAGUUCCAAAGUGUGGAGUGGAUAGGCUUAUUCUCUUUGUUGCUUUUAUGAUAGGUAUUUAGAAUGCACUUUCCUCUGUUAAGUUAAGCCAGCCACCAUUCCCUCAUUCAGUUUCCAUCCUCCAUGAAUUUGCUCACAUCUGCGGUCUACUGUCACUCAUUCUUUCCUUCUCUUCCUGAGGGCUUGUGUGACUUAUGUUCUUGGCUUUCUCUUAGGAACAUGGUGCAGCUUGGCCCUGCAUUAUCCAUCUGGAAAAACAGAUCAUAAAACAGUCCUUCUCUGUACUAAGUGCUAAAGUAGGAGGAAGGGCAUAAGUCAGCUCCCUGAGCUAUAUAUCCUUGUUUUCAGGAGCUGAGCUAGACACAAGCAGAACUUGCAAAUAAUUUACAUUUCUUUCUGCUGAGGUGGUUCAGAAUAAGUUGCAACAAACAUGAACAGGAAUGGUGCAGUAAAU
rnacentral:lncRNA from 10 species